UACGUAGGGGGCAAGCGUUGUCCGGAAUCAUUGGGCGUAAAGGGCGCGUAGGUGGUUCUGUAUGUCUACCGUGAAAGCGUACGGCUCAACCGUAUUUUGUCGGUGGAAACUGCAGGACUUGAGGCUGGGAGGGGCUGGUGGAAUUCCCUGUGUAGCGGUGAAAUGCGCAGAUAUCGGGAGGAACACCUAUGGCGAAGGCAGCUCGCUGGGACGUUACUGACGCUGAGACGCGAAAGCGUGGGGAGCAAACAGG
rnacentral:rRNA from 1 species